GCCAGGGCCUUGUCACUGGCCACUGGUCCCUGGUGGUCUAGAGGCGAGGAUUCAGCGCUCUCACUGCCGCGGCCUGACCUCAAUCUCUGGUGGGAACCGAAAUCCUGCUUCAAGCCGCUGCAGGCCGAGGCCACCUGAGGUCAGUGUGAGGAGUUUAAAGUGCUCACUGUUGGGCACUCACAGACCACUCUGGAGUGAACGCCCCCUUUGGAAGUGAGCGUGUGUGCUCUGAUCUGGCUUUGAUGCUCUACCUGCCGCCUGCAUGAGCUAAGGGCUCUCACCUUGACCUCUGUUGCUUUUUGGAUGGAAAUAAUAGUAGCACAUUUGUCCAAAUGCUGCUUUGGGCUUUCUUUCCACCUGGCCAGACGCUGUGGCUUUUCCAUGCCCACUAAUGUCCACACGCAUGUGCUCUGUGUCAUGGGUACCAGGAGACUCCCCACAAGCCCUCACGCCCUGCCCCGUUCCCUGGCUACAGAAGCCAACAGUUUCCCUCAGGUCCUCAGGCCUGAAAGGAUGAGUUUCAGGCUUUCCUGCUGAGACCUUUAGAAAUGAGAACAUUUGGCUCCUAUCAAGUCUGUUCUGUUCACAGGGAUGAAGGGGGAGGGAGACACCAGCUUGGACCCUCUGCCUCGGGACUGGAGGUGGCUGGAAUCUGCCAGAAAAACAGACCAGGAGUCUUUUUCACCAGGAGCUAAAGGUGGCCCCAAUUGUCAUUUUACCCCAUCCUCAUGCCCCUGUCUUAUAGCUGUGUCUGUGACCCUUAGACGUGGAGUUCUGCAGGGUUGGGGUUUUAAUCUGCAGCUUGGAGCAGGGGGGUUUGGCUGCCAAAUUGUCACAGCCCAGUGUGUACCUUCCCACAAAGCCAGGCCCCAAGCUUUGGGGACCCCUCGAAAUCAUGGACUUUUCUGUCGAUGGCUGGGAGCUCCAAAGAUUUGCUGUCUCGCCACGUCCCUGCAGCUGGCAGGAAGAAUCAGGGCAGCUGUCCUUGAAUACGCCUGGUGUGUAGCAGUUGGAUGACUCCAUUCUCUUCUCUUGGGGAGCUCCUCCUUGCCAGAAGGUAGAACUCCAUCAGGAUGAAGCCCAGGACCAGCCAGAAGCAGCAAAUGAGAGAUUCCUUCCAUCUCUGAAAUUCCUACACUCAGGGAACAACUGUCCCCACAAAGCCUGUGGUCAAGAGGCCCGGGGGGUGGCUCAUCCCCCCAGCCAAGGAAGCCAGAACGAGCUACUGUGCAAAAGGCUUUUGGAAAGAUCUGAGAUUUCCCAGGUGCCGGGAACCCCAUAGACUUGAAGCUGUGUAUGAGGCUGGUGGGUGAGACAUCUGUCCCGCCGGCCACACUGAUCUAGUGCAGAGAUGGCUCUGCUAGCCUUCUGGUCACCCAGGGGCAUUUGUUAUGCCAGUGGGGACCAUGAAAACCCUGGAACCCAAAGUUGCCAUGUCAGAGGUGGACAAGGGUCUUAAAAUGCACAGGAGCUGCUCCUAAGAUUUUCUUUGAUUUGAUCAGCAUUGAUGGAGCAUCGAUAAUACAAAGGGAACUGUACCAGGUUCCAAAGGAUGUAGCUAUUGCUGGUAACAGAUGAGCUGAAAUGUCCAAACAGUAGCUGCUGUUGCACUCCCCGGAACCCAAAGGUGUUCUUAGGGAAACGGGGGGGAAGUGGUCCUUACAAACUGCCAGUAUUUUUAAAAUCCAGGACUUCCCUGGUGGCGCAGUGGUUAAGAAUCCGCCCGCCAAUGCAGGGGA